UGAGGGAUAUUGGUCAAUGGGGGAAACCCUGAACCAGCAACGCCGCGUGAGGGAAGACGGUUUUCGGAUUGUAAACCUCUGUCCUCUGUGAAGAUAAUGACGGUAGCAGAGGAGGAAGCUCCGGCUAACUACGUGCCAGCAGCCGCGGUAAUACGUAGGGAGCGAGCGUUGUCCGGAUUUACUGGGUGUAAAGGGUGCGUAGGCGGCCCUGCAAGUCAGAAGUGAAAUCCAUGGGCUUAACCCGUGAACUGCUUUUGAAACUGCAGGACUUGAGUGGAGUAGAGGUAGGCGGAAUUCCCGGUGUAGCGGUGAAAUGCGUAGAGAUCGGGAGGAACACCAGUGGCGAAGGCGGCCUACUGGGCUUUAACUGACGCUGAAGCACGAAAGCGUGGGUAGCAAACAGG
rnacentral:rRNA from 1 species